UUGGAUGUUUAUCCUGGGGAGGUGGUAGACCAUAGCUCAGAGCUGCUAUUGGGUUUAUUACCCCUCCCCACGUCUGCCUGAGAGAGCAGCCUAUACCCUGCUUCACUCAGUGAAGGAGAAGGGGAAUUUCUGGCGGAUGCGCCGAUGAAGGACCAUGGGAAGAGGAUGGCCAGUGAGCAGAAGCAGGAGACAGAGGACUUCAGUGUCGCUGUCCAGAAAAGGGCCUGCCACUUUUCUACCUGCAUGUUGGGUGGCCUGGCGGAUUAUCUGAGCAAAGCUGCGCAGAAGAACAAAUCCAUGGAAAACAACCUUCUCCCUGAAUCCAUGGGCCGUCGCCGCAGGUACCUUCAGUCCUGAGUUGUAAAAAACACUCCAGGAAGGUCACCAUGAAGCUGAACUCUACUACUUAAAAUUUGUAAUGAAAGCAACUUGUAGGAAGUAGUAUGGAAGAUACACAUAUUUGCAUCCUUCUUGACAUUGAAAACAAUCUUUUCGUUGGAAAGAAACUCAAGCUAAAUAUAAAAUAUAAUCAUUGUAGUUAUCUAGUGUGCAUGUUUUGAAAAAUAUUUGAUACUGUACUCAAUAAAUAUGAGAGCAUGUCUCAUUGGCUUAUCUGGUAGCAAAUCUGGGCCCUGUCAGCCCAUCAUUCAACUGUUGAUGGUAGUGUUACUGUUAAACCACAAGAUGACAUAAAAUGACUGCCUCCUAGGUGUCUGGGGACACAAGAUAUAACUGUGGGUCCAGCCCUUGCUGGUAAAUCGUCACAGGUACGAUUCCUGGUCAGGGCACAUGCGUGGGUUGAGGG